GACGAACGCUGGCGGCGUGCUUAACACAUGCAAGUCGAACGAUGAACUUGGAGCUUGCUCUGGGGGAUUAGUGGCGAACGGGUGAGUAACACGUGAGUAACCUGCCCUGGACUCUGGGAUAACUUCGAGAAAUCGGAGCUAAUACCGGAUAGGACCUUGCACCGCAUGGUGUGGGGUGGAAAGUUUUUCGGUUUGGGAUGGACUCGCGGCCUAUCAGCUUGUUGGUGAGGUAAUGGCUCAACAAGGCGUCGACGGGUAGCCGGCCUGAGAGGGUGACCGGCCACACGGGGACUGAGACACGGCCCAGACUCCUACGGGAGGCAGCAGUGGGGAAUAUUGCACAAUGGGCGCAAGCCUGAUGCAGCAACGCCGCGUGCGGGAUGACGGCCUUCGGGUUGUAAACCGCUUUUAGUAGGGAAGAAGCCUUCGGGUGACGGUACCUGCAGAAAAAGGACCGGCUAACUUCGUGCCAGCAGCCGCGGUAAAAC
rnacentral:rRNA from 1 species